AUAUUUUCACAUCUAUCUCAUUUUUAUCAUCAUGACAAGUGUAUGAUAGACAGUGAAUGCCUCAAUUUAUACUGUCUCUCCCUACAUUAGGGACACAUUUCCUUUUUGUCUUUGUGUCCUCAGAACCUGGUCUUUUGGAGACACUCAGUAAAUGCAUAUCCAUUGAUUGAAUGAAAUAAAAUGAGUGAAGAAGGAAAAUAUCCAAUUCAAGCACUUUGCCGAAGCUACCAAUUAUCUGCAAAGCACAAAGACAUCCCAGAGUCUUGUCUCUUUGUGAUGCUAAGGGGGCACCAUGAUCCUUUCUGACUUGGGGAGAGUUGAUGAGAAGGAGAUUUUAUGUUCCAUUGUUUGGCCCACUUGAAGUAUGAGACUUUCCUCUAAUGCUGGACACCAAUGGCGAGGAGAUCAUGCUCCAUCCUAAUCUGAAACAGCCUUGCCCCAAGGUACCCAGCCAUAAGAUGCAAUCAUGCCUCAGCAUUUCAGGAGCUGUCGAGGACCUAAGUAAGCUUCUGGCAAAUGGAAGAAUAAAUCCCAACUUUUCCUUGGAGAGAUGAAGAUCCUGGUUUCAUUGUGCUGUUCAAGGUGACAAAAAAUGCCAUUCACGGGACAUUGUCAGCAAGAUUCAAAUCUAUGCGAGUACAUGUGGAUGCCUUCCAUGGAAGGAACAUGGGGAUGCCAGCCUUUUCCCCUGGAGCAAUACACUGUGAGUUGUUUUCUCCAAAAUGGAGAAUGUGACCAGAAGAUAACUACAGACUUGGCAAGUUGUAAAUGUGAACAAUAAACCCAAAGUUCAGAGUGUUACACAUAGUAGGCACUUAAUAAAACAGGCUCAUCUCAGGAACCA
rnacentral:lncRNA from 1 species